rnacentral:rRNA from 1 species
AUGUGUGUCCCAAAAAACUAGGGAGGUAUGGGCUUUCGAGAUAUCCACUGUUUCAACUUGGCUUUGUUAGCCAAACAAGCAUGGCGUCUUAUUGAUAAACCUGACUCGUUAUGUGCCACUAUUUUGAGAGCUAAGUAUUUUCCUGAUGGUGAUUUGAUGAGUGCAAGUUUAAAAAAGGGUUCGUCUUUUACUUGGCAAAGUAUUAUGGCGGGUGUAAAUUCUCUGAGAAAUGGCUAUAUCUGGCGAGUUGGAAAUGGCAAAGUAUAG